AAGCACGGCUUCGCAGCGCGCACACGGGGAGCUUGCUCCCAGAGAUGCUGCGAGGAAAGUCCCCGUGCCUUGGUGCAGAGAGUGCGAGUGGGAGACCGCAG
rnacentral:RNase_MRP_RNA from 1 species